CCUACGGGCGGCAGCAGUGAGGCAUAUUGGUCAAUGGGCGAGAGCCUGAACCAGCCAAGUCGCGUGAAGGAUGACGGCCCUACGGGUUGUAACCUUCUUUUGUCAGGGAGCAAUUGGGUCCACGCGUGGGCUUAGCGAGAGUACCUGAAGGAAAAGCAUCGGCUAACUCCGUGCCAGCCGCCGCGGUAAUCCGGAGGAUGCGAUCGUUAUCCGGAUUUAUUGGGUUUAAAGGGUGCGGAGGCGGAAUAUCAAGUCCGCGGUAAACAUUCGUGGCUCAACCCCGUCGUGCCGUUGAAACUGAUGUUCUUGAGUGGGCGAGAAGUAUGCGGAAUGCGUGGUGUAGCGGUGAAAUGCAUAGAUAUCACGCAGAACUCCGAUUGCGAAGGCAGCAUACCGGCGCCCAACUGACGCUGAAGCACGAAAGCGUGGGUAUCGAACAGGAUUAGAUACCCUAGUAGUC
rnacentral:rRNA from 1 species